rnacentral:rRNA from 1 species
GAUGAACGCUGGCGGCGUGCCUAAUACAUGCAAGUCGAGCGAACAGACGAGGAGCUUGCUCCUCUGACGUUAGCGACGGACGGGUGAGUAACACGUGGAUAACCUACCUAUAAGACUGGGAUAACUUCGGGAAACCGGAGCUAAUACCGGAUAAUAUAUUGAACCGCAUGGUUCAAUAGUGAAAGACGGUUUUGCUGUCACUUAUAGAUGGAUCCGCGCCGCAUUAGCUAGUUGGUAAGGUAACGGCUUACCAAGGCGACGAUGCGUAGCCGACCUGAGAGGGUGAUCGGCCACACUGGAACUGAGACACGGUCCAGACUCCUACGGGAGGCAGCAGUAGGGAAUCUUGCGCAAUGGGCGAAAGCCUGACGGAGCAACGCCGCGUGGGUGAUGAAGGUCUUCGGGUCGUAAAACUCUGUUAUUAGGGAAGAACAAAUGUGUAAGUAACUAUGCACGUCUUGACGGUACCUAAUCAGAAAGCCACGGCUAACUACGUG